rnacentral:rRNA from 1 species
UAAUACAAUUCUUUCCGCCAGAGAACUACAAGUGAAAAACUUGAAACUCAAAGGACUUGACGGUGUCCCAUAUCGGCCUAGAGGAGCCUGUCCUAUAAUCGAUACCCCCCGUUCCACCCAACCCCAACUAGCAAACAUACCAGCCUAUAUACCGCCGUCGACAGUUUACCCUAUGAAGGCCUAAUAGUAGACACAACAGCCUUUAACGCUAAUACGUCAGGUCAAGGUGUAGCAAAUGUUGUGGAAGAGAUUGGCUACAUUUUUUAUGAUAAAAAAUACGGAUUGCACUAUGAAAUACUGCAUGAAGGUGAAUUUAGUAGUAAA